ensembl:rRNA 5S_rRNA 5S ribosomal RNA
GCUUACGGCCACACCGCCUGGUUCACGCUUGAUCUCGGAAGCUAAGAUAGGGUGGGCCUGGUUAGUACUUGGAUGGGAGACCGCCUGGGAAUUCCAGGUGCUGUAAGCU